UGCUGGAGGUAUCAGAAGUGCGAAUGCUGACAUAAGUAACGAUAAAGCGGGUGAAAAGCCCGCUCGCCGGAAGACCAAGGGUUCCUGUCCAACGUUAAUCGGGGCAGGGUGAGUCGACCCCUAAGGCGAGGCCGAAAGGCGUAGUCGAUGGGAAACAGGUUAAUAUUCCUGUACUUGGUGUUACUGCGAAGGGGGGACGGAGAAGGCUAUGUUAGCCGGGCGACGGUUGUCCCGGUUUAAGCAUGUAGGCUGAUUGUCCAGGCAAAUCCGGAUAAUCAAGGCUGAGGUGUGAUGACGAGGCACUACGGUGCUGAAGUAACAAAUGCCCUGCUUCCAGGAAAAGCCUCUAAGCAUCAGGUAACAUCAAAUCGUACCCCAAACCGACACAGGUGGUCAGGUAGAGAAUACCAAGGCGCUUGAGAGAACUCGGGUGAAGGAACUAGGCAAAAUGGUGCCGUAACUUCGGGAGAAGGCACGCUGGUGUGUAGGUGAAGUCCCUGCGGAUGGAGCUGAGACCAGUCGAAGAUACCAGCUGGCUGCAACUGUUUAUUAAAAACACAGCACUGUGCAAACACGAAAGUGGACGUAUACGGUGUGACGCCUGCCCGGUGCCGGAAGGUUAAUUGAUGGGGUUAUCCGUAAGGAGAAGCUCUUGAUCGAAGCCCCGGUAAACGGCGGCCGUAACUAUAACGGUCCUAAGGUAGCGAAAUUCCUUGUCGGGUAAGUUCCGACCUGCACGAAUGGCGUAAUGAUGGCCAGGCUGUCUCCACCCGAGACUCAGUGAAAUUGAACUCGCUGUGAAGAUGCAGUGUACCCGCGGCAAGACGGAAAGACCCCGUGAACCUUUACUAUAGCUUGACACUGAACAUUGAGCCUUGAUGUGUAGGAUAGGUGGGAGGCUUUGAAGCGUGGACGCCAGUCUGCGUGGAGCCAACCUUGAAAUACCACCCUUUAAUGUUUGAUGUUCUAACGUUGGCCCCUUACCGGGGUUGCGGACAGUGUCUGGUGGGUAGUUUGACUGGGGCGGUCUCCUCCCAAAGCGUAACGGAGGAGCACGAAGGUUAGCUAAUCCUGGUCGGACAUCAGGAGGUUAGUGCAAUGGCAUAAGCUAGCUUGACUGCGAGCGUGACGGCGCGAGCAGGUGCGAAAGCAGGUCAUAGUGAUCCGGUGGUUCUGAAUGGAAGGGCCAUCGCUCAACGGAUAAAAGGUACUCCGGGGAUAACAGGCUGAUACCGCCCAAGAGUUCAUAUCGACGGCGGUGUUUGGCACCUCGAUGUCGGCUCAUCACAUCCUGGGGCUGAAGUAGGUCCCAAGGGUAUGGCUGUUCGCCAUUUAAAGUGGUACGCGAGCUGGGUUUAGAACGUCGUGAGACAGUUCGGUCCCUAUCUGCCGUGGGCGCUGGAGAAUUGAGGGGGGCUGCUCCUAGUACGAGAGGACCGGAGUGGACGCAUCACUGGUGUUCGGGUUGUCAUGCCAAUGGCACUGCCCGGUAGCUAAAUGCGGAAGAGAUAAGUGCUGAAAGCAUCUAAGCACGAAACUUGCCCCGAGAUGAGUUCUCCCUGAGACUUUAAGUCUCCUGAAGGAACGUU
rnacentral:rRNA from 1 species